GAUCAUUCACUUUCCUUCUUGUUCCUUUUGCUUGCAGAAUCAAAGAAAAGACGGUCGCAUUCAUUCGAUAUAUCGCCAUUUACCGUACUCAAGCCGAUUUAGUCUCUCUGCAUAAUCUCCCCCCUCACCCCAUUUAUUGAAACUCGCCCCUGCGAUUUUAUUUCCUCCUUUAUUCACUCCAUUUCUUCCUUCCUAAGAAGUCCUCCUCUUCCUCAGUCAGUCACUCCCUUGGCCCAAGCAGCACUCCCACCCAGUACGUUCCAUCUGCAGCUGCAAUGGUACAUUAUUGCUCCUCGUGCUUUCUCUGCUGCUCUCGAUCUCCUAACAUAACGUCUCUGGAGGACAUCUUCGCCCCGAAAGAGUGCAAGACAAAGUGCGUGUGUGUACAGAUGCUCGGCCACAUCGCACGAGAAGCCAUGCGUGUUCUUCUGCCUCAAUUGCUGCGUUAAAUGCCUGUGCGUCCCUCCAAGCACUUGCGGCAACAAGGGGACCUGCCCUUGCUACAAUAACAUGAAGUCCAAGGAAAACAGUCCCGAGUGCCCUUAAUUAUCAUAGAUUAUUUGUUUGUGUCGUCUUCGGUCGAUUGUAGUUCGCUGAUAAUAAUAAAUAAGAAUCAAUCUCGAUGAUGUAGCUAUCGGGUUCUGUUCGUCAGCGAAUGGUUUACUUUGUUGAAGUCGAUGUGAUUGGAUCCAUGAAAUCUAUCCGUGUCAAUUAACUGAUGACAUUCAUAGCACAGGUAGAAUCGGGAACAAAACUUUGGGGGGUUAGUUGUCCUGACUCUGAGAGUGGAACCAAACCGCAAAAACACAACUGAAAAGAACCAAGACUGC